CGGUGGCAACCAAUCUGACCGCCCUUAAUUCCGCCUUUUUUUUGAUUAGUCAAGCCAGGAAAGGACAGUCCUGAUUGGUGAAUACAGAGUAGAGAGCAACGCAUACGGAAGAAAGAACGGAUUAAAGAGAAAUAGAAAAACAAUGGUGGGGGAUUUGCUAUUGUUUGGAACCUUGCUUGUGAAUGCAGGAGCAGUGCUGAAUUUCAGACUAAAAAGAAAGGAUACACGAGGCUUUGAAGAAGACUCUCGAGAGCCAUCCACAGGUAUGUG